GUGCCAGCCGCCGCGGUAAGACGUAGGAGGCGAGCGUUAUCCGGAUUCACUGGGCGUAAAGCGCAUGUAGGCGGUUGAACAAGUCAUGUGUUAAAGCCCCCGGCUCAACUGGGGGAGGUCAUGUGAGACUGUUUGACUUGAGGGCAGCAGAGGUAGGUGGAACUCCCGGUGUAGCGGUGGAAUGCGUAGAGAUCGGGAAGAACACCCGUGGCGAAGGCGACCUACUGGGCUGCGACUGACGCUGAGAUGCGAAAGUGUGGGGAGCAAACGGGAUUAGAAACCCUUGUAGUCC
rnacentral:rRNA from 1 species